rnacentral:rRNA from 1 species
AGAGUUUGAUCAUGGCUCAGGAUGAACGCUAGCGACAGGCCUAACACAUGCAAGUCGAGGGGCAGCGGGGAGGUAGCAAUACCUUUGCCGGCGACCGGCGCACGGGUGAGUAACACGUAUGCAAUCCACCUGUAACAGGGGGAUAACCCGGAGAAAUCCGGACUAAUACCCCAUAAUAUGGGCGCUCCGCAUGGAGAGUUCAUUAAAGAGAAGCAAUUUUGGUUACAGACGAGCAUGCGCUCCAUUAG